rnacentral:lncRNA from 1 species
GGAACAUUCUGGGAGGCCGAGGUGGGCGGAUCACGAGGUCAGGAGAUUGAGACCAUCCUGGCUAACACGGUGAAACCCCGUCUCUACUAAAAAUACAAAAAAAUUAGCCGGGCGUGGCGGCGGGCGCCUGUAGUCCCAGCUACUUGGGAGGCUGAGGCAGGAGAAUGGUGCGAACCCGGGAGGCAGAUUUUGCAGAGAGCCGAGAUCGUGCCACUGCACUCCAGCCUGGGCGACAGAGCAAGACUCCGUCUCAAAACAAAAAACAAACAAACAAAUAUGGAGCAUUCUGAUAUGAAUAAGACACUUGCUCACUUCUCAAUUCCUUGGUGUCCAGCUCUACAAGUGUAUAUAGACUUCCAAAGAAUAUUUAAAUCCUUUAACAAAAAUGCCACCUAAGAAAAUAUGAAAUACUUCAGUCUGUCUGUCAGUGCUCACUUCCUGUCUAGAAACUUUCAGGCUCCGGCACAAAUGAACCAUGUUCUUCGCCUAAGUCAUUUAUGGAACAUCUGCUUUCGGUUUAGCAUCAGGGGAAACAAAGCAAAGAAGAAUGACACUGAAGAAUCAAAAAAAAAAAUGAGCAUAAGACCCAUGAAGAUUACAGACACAUACACUCCUAAAAUUAAACAUUAAGCGGAAUAAAAAUAAUCCCAGAUUAUAUGGUCUGACAUGCCAGAAGAAAUAAAAACCUAAGGAAUUAGUUAAAAUCUGUGCAAAAAAAAAAAAAAAAAAAAAAAAAAAAAAA